AAUUAAAAUAAAUGCAAUAUUUUUUUAAGAAAUCGUAUCAACAAACUCAAAAAAUGUGUUUUAAAUUUACCUAAAAAUUAAUAACAUUUAGCUGUUUAAACAUUUCUAGACAUUUAGUUUUCUCUGAAAAAGUACUCAAAAAUAGACUCUUUUUUUGCACUCUAAACUAAAAUAUUCUUGUAAAUGCUUAAUUAUCAUUUUGGUUUGUUUGAUCAAAAGUGAAAGAACAAUUAGGAAUUCUUCAAUUCUCAGUAAGAGUUGAUCAUGAUUAAAGUAAUAUGAAUUGAAUUGCAUCCAGGUUCUCGUAACGAGUCUGUCGUUACAACAAGUCGACUAUCAAGAACCCGCGAACUUCUGGCUGGGCCCGAGAGCCGCGGAUCUAAUUCACUUUGACGCUAAGUUUGCACCAUAUAUGCGCCGAGAUAUCAAGAUACUGAAGGAGAUCUGGCCGAUGUGUGGCGAGAAAGAGGACGGGGUACCGCUUGCUGCAUCAGCAGUUUAGCAAAACAAACUGUUUUGUCCGAGAAUUGAGAUCCACUGCUAUGGUAAAUUACGUAAUUUUUUCUUCGAUUUUUAGCUUCCUAGAAAAUGGCACUUGAGUGAAAAAAAAAUAAAGAAAAAAUAUUUUCCAUUUGUCGCUUGUUAUAUGCAUCACAAUUUUUUAUUAUUUUAAUUGAAAUAUAGAAAAACAGUGAUGUAAGAACAAACACUUUCUGACUAAAUAUAGAAAAUUAUUUAA